AUUACCAUAUCAUUAGAAAGGCGACAUCACCAGAAAAAAAUAACGUGGCAAAGAUGUUUUACUAUGUGAUUCUCCCUUUAGCUCUUCUUGUCAUUGCUUACAAAUUCAUCUUCAGCUAUAGAACACAGCGUUUCAACCUCCCUCCCUCUCCGCCUCACUCUCUCCCCAUUAUCGGCCACCACCGCCUCAUUAAACCUCCCGUCCACCGUCUCUUCCAUGGACUCGCCAAAACACACGGCUCAAUCUUCUACCUCCGAUUAGGUACCCGCCGUGCGGUUGUCAUCUCUUCCUCCGCACUCGCAAGAGAAUGCUUCACGGGUAACGACGUAGUUGUAUCGAACCGCCCUCGUUUCCUGACUUCCAAAUACAUCGCUUACAACUACACAACCAUUGCGACCACACCUUACGGUGACCACUGGCGUAACCUCCGCAAAAUAUGCUCCCUCGAAAUCGUCUCCUCAAAACGUCUCGCAAACUUUCUCCACAUCCGCAAAGAGGAAAUCCACCGCAUGCUCACGAGACUCUCACGUGACGCACUCAUCAGCAAAGAGGUCGAGGUCGAGUCCUUGUUUUACGAUCUAACGUUCAACAACAUCGUGAGGAUGGUUACGGGGAAGAUCUAUUACGGAGAAGAUGCUAGUGACAAAGCAGAAGCAGAUACGUUCAAGAAACUCAUUGCUUAUAUUACCAGUACUAGUGGCGCGAGGCACCCUGGUGAAUACUUGCCAUUCUUGAAAAUAUUCGGAAGGAGUUUUGAGAAGAAAGUGAAAGCUGUAGGAGAAGCCAUGGAUGCGAUCUUGCAGCGUCUGCUUGAUGAGUGUAGAGGAAAUAAAGACGGUAACACAAUGGUUAAUCACUUGCUCUCUUUGCAACAACAAGACCCAGAGUAUUACAGUGAGGUCAUCAUCAAAGGCCUAAUGCUGGUAACAACCAAACACAGUCAUUUUGUCACAACGACAACAUUAACACACAAUCUUAUUAAACAUAAUUUAGAUAAAAAUAAUUUUAUUAAAAUACAUUUUGACAACUUGUUCACCCGUCUUCUAAUCCUGGGACGAAUUAUUCAACCACUAACCAUUUAGAAUUAGGUGAAUGCCAUUUUGUCGCGCUGGAAUUAAAUCGCAUAUCUUUGCCAAAAAUGCGAAGUCAUUUGAGAGCAUUUAUUAUAAACUCUAUUGAUUUUCUUGUGAAUAAAUUUAAAUAUAUAGGAUUAUGAAAAAUACAAGUUUACAAAAAAUAUUAACCAUUAUUUGAGUCUUUUAAAUAAGAUACUAUCUUCUUUUUAUCUUUUUACUUUUGAUACUUUUAAUUAUAUAAUCUAAAAUUUUAAUUUAGAGGUUAUAUUGAUGCAGAUAUCUAUUGAGUAUAAGUUUUUAAACAAUUUUUUAAAAAAAGUUUUCAUAAUACAACACUAAUAUAAGUAAAACUAAAAUUAAAUUUAAUAAAUCGUAGCAAAUAAGCACUCUUUCGAACUUUUAAAAACAUAUCACCCUCUUUUCUUUCACUUUUUAUUUGUUUUAUUAUAAUAGUGAAAAGAAUUUGGUUGAAGUACCAAGGUAUUUCAAAGAGUAUUAGAGUAUUUCCAUUGGAUUCUAGCCAAAACGUUUUUAAAAUAUAUUUAUAUAUAUUUGUGUAUGUAUUUUUAAAAAAAAAUGGCUAGAAUCCCAUAUAUAUAUAUAUAUAUAUAUAUAUGUAUUUUUUAAAAAAAAUUGGCUAGAAUCCCAAUUGAAAGUGCUCUUACUCUCUAGUUAAAUGUAAAAUUAGAAAAACAAGAACAUGAUUUCGUCAAAAAAAAAAGAAAGAGACACGAUUGAUGAAAAUCAAUUCUUGGAAAUAUCCUCAACAAAAACAUGACAAACUCUAUGAAACAUGUCGGCUUUUUAAUAGUUUAAAAAUCAGAAAAGUAAAAUAUAACUAUAUAAAUAAUUGUUAAUAUUUUAUUAUUUAUUGAGAAAUUCAUGCAUGUGCAGCCGUUGAUAUGUCAUAUGCUCACCUUUUCUCUUUGCUUGCAGAUCCUCCUUCAACCCCAAAACUCAUUCCUCUUAUAUAUAGAUCCUCCUUCAACCCCAAUACUCAUUCCUCUUAUUUAUAGAUUACCAUAUCAUUAGAAAGGCGACAUCACCAGAAAAAAAUAACGUGGCAAAGAUGUUUUACUAUGUGAUUCUCCCUUUAGCUCUUCUUGUCAUUGCUUACAAAUUCAUCUUCAGCUAUAGAACGCAGCGUUUCAACCUCCCUCCCUCUCCGCCUCACUCUCUCCCCAUUAUCGGCCACCACCGCCUCAUUAAACCUCCCGUCCACCGUCUCUUCCAUGGACUCGCCAAAACACACGGCCCAAUCUUCUACCUCCGACUAGGUACCCGCCGUGCGGUUGUCAUCUCUUCCUCCGCACUCGCAAGAGAAUGUUUCACGGGUCAUAACGACGUGGUUGUAUCAAACCGCCCUCGUUUCCUAACUUCCAAAUACAUCGCUUACAACUACACAACCAUUGCGACCACACCUUACGGUGACCACUGGCGUAACCUCCGCAAAAUAUGCUCCCUCGAAAUCGUCUCCUCAAAACGUCUCGCAAACUUUCUCCACAUCCGCAAAGAGGAAAUCCACCGCAUGCUCACGAGACUCUCACGUGACGCACUCAUCAGCAAAGAGGUCGAGGUCGAGUCCUUGUUUUACGAUCUAACGUUCAACAACAUCGUGAGGAUGGUUACGGGGAAGAUCUAUUACGGAGAAGAUGCUAGUGACAAAGCAGAAGCAGAUACGUUCAAGAAACUCAUUGCUUAUAUUACCAGUACUAGUGGCGCGAGGCACCCUGGUGAAUACUUGCCAUUCUUGAAAAUAUUCGGAAGGAGUUUUGAGAAGAAAGUGAAAGCUGUAGGAGAAGCCAUGGAUGCGAUCUUGCAGCGUCUGCUUGAUGAGUGUAGAGGAAAUAAAGACGGUAACACAAUGGUUAAUCACUUGCUCUCAUUGCAACAACAAGACCCAGAGUAUUACAGUGAAGUCAUCAUCAAAGGCCUAAUGCUGGUAACAACCAAACACAGUCAUUUUGUCACAACGACAACAUUAACACACACACACACACACAUAUAUAUAUAUAUAUAUAUGCACACAUAUAACGACGCAUCAUAUUAUUACUUUUAACAAAAAAAAAUAUUUUUUAUAUAUAUUAGAAAACGAGGAAUUUAUAAAUAAAUGAAACUAAAAAUGGGAUUGGCUUUUUUUUUUGUUAAAAAAAUAGCCACUGAACUAAAUAAUAUAUUAAUAUACUGACUAAUUAUUACGAUUUAUUUAUUUUAUUAUGUAUAUAUAUUUUUUUUUAUUUUUUUUCAUGAGCACUAGUAUAUAUAUUACGACAUUAAUAUACAACAAAAGAGCUAAUAAUUGUCUGCAAAACAGGGUAUCAUGUUUGCCGCAUCAGAAACAUCGGCAGUGACAAUAGAGUGGGCGAUGGCGAGUUUGUUGAAUCAUCCAGAGUUGUUGGAAAAGUUGAAACUAGAGAUUGACGAGAAAAUCGGACAAGACCGCUUGAUCGAGGAAACAGACAUUCCAAACCUGCCUUACCUCCAAAACGUAGUGUCGGAGACACUCAGGCUAUAUCCAGCAGCGCCGCUUCUUGUGCCAAGAUUAACAGUAGAGGACAUCAAGAUCGGAGGCUACGACGUGCCUCGUGAGACGAUGGUCAUGGUGAACGCGUGGAGUAUACACAGGGAUCCAGAACUGUGGACGGAACCAGAGAGGUUUAAUCCAGAUAGGUUUAACGGUGGAGGAGAAGGAGAAAAGGACGAUGUCCGUAUGCUGAUAACCUUUGGAAGUGGACGGAGAAUGUGUCCCGGCGCAGGAUUAGCGAACAAGAUUGUGACGUUGGCGUUAGGAUCUUUGAUUCAAUGCUUUGAUUGGGGAAGAGUCAAUGGCAAAAAGAUUGAUAUGACUGAGGGUCCAGAGAUGGCAAUGCGUAAGGUGGUGCCGUUACGAGCCAUGUGUCAGCUUCGACCCGUUAUGAAUAAGCUUCUUACCGAGUCAAAAGUUUAGUUCUGCUUCAGUGUGUUUCUAUUGAAAAAAACUAUUAUGCGAAUAAAUUGUGUAGUUACACACUUCGUUGCUUCUCUGUAACGAAAACUAUAUGUGUAAUGCGAAUAAAUUGAAAACCCUAGCAUUUUUCCUUUUACAUAAAUAUUACCAUGUUUUUAGAUUGGUUUUUGAGCUUAUUUGGAACAAACUAAAAAUGAACUUGAGCAUACAAGAAAGAAAGAUUCAACAUAUACCGGUAAAAGAAUGAACUUUUUUCUUUAGUAUAUAUGUAUGUAUGUUAAGAAGAUAUGUUAUUUAUUUUCAAAUAUAUAUAAAGUUUUUUGACAAAAAAUUAAAUUGAAAACUACAUUCUAUUAAUUCGACGUGUGAUCUGCAAAUUAUAGCUUGUAUGUCGGUUUGGUACUAAGCGAUAUAUCCAAUAAUGUAUUCUUCUUUCUUUUUUUUUUCUAACCAAUUCAAUAAAGUAUUCGAAAAGAUAUAGUGAAAGUUAUAUGCAAUACAGUUUUGCAUGGUUUUGGCUCUUUUCCUAAAUUGGAAUCUCCAAUGUAUAGUUAUAUAAUUUCAUUUAAAACAGGGAUCUCUAUUAUAGAGGUAAAAAUGUUAUAAUAUACUCUCUCUUUUCUUAAAUAUAGGAUGUUUAGAAUAGUUUCUAUGUUCCAAUAUGUAGGACGUUCUCAUAUUUUUAGAUAGUUAUAAAUUUAUCAAAAACUGUGUAACCAAUCAAAUUUAAUAGUUCUAUUUUGUAAUUGGUUGAAUAGUUUUUAAUUUAAAAAUUUAAUGAUAUUUUUUAGAUAAAAAAUAACUUUCUUAAUAAGUGUGUUUUACCUAAAAAAUCUUAUAUUUAAGAACGGAUGGAGUAUGUUUUUAUAAUAGAGUUCUUCUAUUUUAAAGUGAAAUAUAGAAGAAAGUUAUUUUUUAAUAUUUUAUAAAAAUAUAUUAUAGUAAAAUAUAAAUCAUAAAAUAUAUAUAAAUUACACAAAAAAAUAUUAAAUUUUGAAACUACUUAGACAUUUUUCUUAUAAAUUAUUUUUAAUUUUUAAAACUUGAAUAGCAAUAGUUUUCCUUAUAUAAAUAUUAUAAAUUAAACAAAAAUAAAAAUACAUAAAAUUUUGAAACUAAUUAUAAAUUUUCUUAUAUAAAUUAUUUAUAUUUUCUUAAAGUUGAAUGGAAAUUUUUAUAUUUCUGGAUUAAUACAAUAUAUUGUAUUAAUAAAACGUAUUAUGUUUUUUAUAAUUUUCGUCAUUUUUAAUGUGAUUAAUAAUUAUUAAAAUAAUUCAAUUAUUUUAUUUAUAAAAACUAAUAACUAAGUUUUAAAAUUAAAUAAUAUUAUUUAUAAAAAAAAUAUUUACAGAUCUGAAACACAAAUUUAAAUAUUUCACAUUAUCGUUCAAAUGAUAUCUAAUGUACCAAAAAUUGUAUGCUAAUAUUGUUUUUAUGAAAAUAUUAUUUAUUAAUUAUUAAUUAAUUAAAAUGUAGUAGUUUCUCCAAAAAAAAAUUCGUUUUUCUUCAUAAAAACUCACAAAAGUUGAUUUUUGGUUUUUCUUCAUUAAUUGGUUAAACUUUUCAAAAACUAGUUUCCCUAAAUUUUAAGAAAUCUAUUUAUUAAAAAUCUUGAUUGGCAACUCACAUAAUUUUUAUAAAAUCUAAAACUAAAAACUAAAACAAAAACCACAAACAAUCAACCUUUAGGAGAAAAAAAAAACUAUUUUUUCUAUUUUUUCCACCUAACUAGGUGGCUAUAUGUACAUCCGCUUUAGUUUAUGUAUUUUUCUCCUAACUAGGUGACUAUAUGUACAUAUAUUAUGUACUUUAGUCUACAUAUAACCUAGUUAGGAAAAAACUAUUUUUUGCCUUGUACUUAUUUGGAGAAAGCGGACUAAGCGUUACGGAUCUAGCGGACCAAGCGAAUCGAGCUGCUUUAUAAUGCUAAACCUAUUAAUAUCAAUUUAAAAACAAAUAACUGCUUUAACCUAUGCUAGAACACUCCUUAGGUGAUGUCUUUAUAUUGUUCAUAGUAGAACUUAUUUUUCUCUUUGUAAAGUUAAACCACUAGUGGUUCUUUAAUUUUUUAUUAUUAAAAAGGUAGAUCAUAUUUUAUCAAACAACAAUUGAUGAAUGGCAAAUAAAUAGGUGGUUUAUCCACCUGAUGGGAGAAAUGCUUUUUUUCUACUUUUUAUUCUUAGCCUAAGAGCAAGUCCAAUGGAAAUUCUUAGCAAAAUAUCCUUAGCAAAAAAAUAUUAUAAUAAUAUGUGAGGCCUACUAAAUUUAAGAGUUUGUGUCAAAUUAAUCUUUAGUUAAGGUUCAGAUUUGUUAUUGUGUACGGGUCCUACCGUCACGUGGAAUCCCGCGAUUGGCUCUUCCUUUUUUUUAGCGAAAAAAAUAAUAAUAAUAAAAUAAUUUUAAAAACUUACCUCGGUUAUCGAACCAAAAGUAACAGUGUUGCGGAUGGUCUAAGAUACUGUAACGUCUUGGCCGCUUCCAUUAUUGGGUCUUUACCCAUGUUCACUCGGCCUGUGGAUUUUACUAUCCCAUUGAUGAUUGCCUAUUAGUUUUUUUUUGGAUGUUUCCUAAUUUUGUAAUCACUACAUGAAUCAGGACGUGAUAUUUUUGUUUUUUUAAUACGAUGUUACCAAUUACAUUCUAAUUUGUUACAUAUUUUCCAGUAUUCCAAUAUGUGUGACCGAAAAUCUAAAUAUAAUUUAAAAACUCAAAUAAUUAAAUUAAAUAUUUUAAUAUAUAUUGCCAUAAUACAUACCAUAUAUUAGAAAUACGUAUGUAAUUUUGUGGGAUUACUUGAUUCCACAGUAAUGAAAAUAUUAAUAUUUCUUAAACAUCUGCAGGCUAGUCAUCGUUAACUCCUUUUACAUGGUUUACAUAUGAAUUGUGGUAGAAUUUAUUAAUCCAAUAUAUUUCAAAGAAUAUAUAAAAGACUACACAUGCAGACACACUCCAUUAUCAUGCACUAGUUGAAUACUCUACUGAUGCAGAAGUAUAAUAAUUGCACUUUAAAAUAUGUCCUUAUUCAAACUUAAGUUAGCUUGGGCUGAGGUUGGGCUGAGGAUGUGGAGAUGAAGCUCUGUUUGUUUUGGUGUUUAAGACAGUUUAGUCUGAAAAGUAUUAUUAUUCUUAAUCAUACAAACGACGCAUUAUAUAAACGUGUAAUAUAAUUAUUGGCUUUAAUCGAUGAAUUGUAUAGACUUUUUAUUUAAUGUUAUCAGGUUGUUAGGAUUAUAUAUUUACUUUAGGCAGCACUUGUUUGACUGAGAAGUACACCAGAAAAUUAAAAAAUAAAUAAAAAUUCGAUGUUCAAGGAAACAAAAUCAAAAUAACUUUUUAAAACAAUACAAUUUUAACUAAAAUUCUCAUGAUGUUGAAAUAUAUAGAAGAAACCAUAAAAGUAUUUUUUGGUAAAUCAGUAAUAACAAAGUUUGCCAACCUUAAAAACGUAAUAUGACUAAAACGAUAAUUAUAACUAAUCUAGGGAGUGUAUUUAAAUUGGAAUUUUGUAUAGUUUGUAUUAAAAUAAUAAAUUAUAUCUUAUUAAACAUAAUUUAGAUAAAAAUAAUUUUAUUAAAAUACAUUUUGACAACUUGUUCACCCGUCUUCUAAUCCUGGGACGAAUUAUUCAACCACUAACCAUUUAGAAUUAGGUGAAUGCCAUUUUGUCGCGCUGGAAUUAAAUCGCAUAUCUUUGCCAAAAAUGCGAAGUCAUUUGAGAGCAUUUAUUAUAAACUCUAUUGAUUUUCUUGUGAAUAAAUUUAAAUAUAUAGGAUUAUGAAAAAUACAAGUUUACAAAAAAUAUUAACCAUUAUUUGAGUCUUUUAAAUAAGAUACUAUCUUCUUUUUAUCUUUUUACUUUUGAUACUUUUAAUUAUAUAAUCUAAAAUUUUAAUUUAGAGGUUAUAUUGAUGCAGAUAUCUAUUGAGUAUAAGUUUUUAAACAAUUUUUUAAAAAAAGUUUUCAUAAUACAACACUAAUAUAAGUAAAACUAAAAUUAAAUUUAAUAAAUCGUAGCAAAUAAGCACUCUUUCGAACUUUUAAAAACAUAUCACCCUCUUUUCUUUCACUUUUUAUUUGUUUUAUUAUAAUAGUGAAAAGAAUUUGGUUGAAGUACCAAGGUAUUUCAAAGAGUAUUAGAGUAUUUCCAUUGGAUUCUAGCCAAAACGUUUUUAAAAUAUAUUUAUAUAUAUUUGUGUAUGUAUUUUUAAAAAAAAAUGGCUAGAAUCCCAUAUAUAUAUAUAUAUAUAUAUAUAUGUAUUUUUUAAAAAAAAUUGGCUAGAAUCCCAAUUGAAAGUGCUCUUACUCUCUAGUUAAAUGUAAAAUUAGAAAAACAAGAACAUGAUUUCGUCAAAAAAAAAAGAAAGAGACACGAUUGAUGAAAAUCAAUUCUUGGAAAUAUCCUCAACAAAAACAUGACAAACUCUAUGAAACAUGUCGGCUUUUUAAUAGUUUAAAAAUCAGAAAAGUAAAAUAUAACUAUAUAAAUAAUUGUUAAUAUUUUAUUAUUUAUUGAGAAAUUCAUGCAUGUGCAGCCGUUGAUAUGUCAUAUGCUCACCUUUUCUCUUUGCUUGCAGAUCCUCCUUCAACCCCAAAACUCAUUCCUCUUAUAUAUAGAUCCUCCUUCAACCCCAAUACUCAUUCCUCUUAUUUAUAGAUUACCAUAUCAUUAGAAAGGCGACAUCACCAGAAAAAAAUAACGUGGCAAAGAUGUUUUACUAUGUGAUUCUCCCUUUAGCUCUUCUUGUCAUUGCUUACAAAUUCAUCUUCAGCUAUAGAACGCAGCGUUUCAACCUCCCUCCCUCUCCGCCUCACUCUCUCCCCAUUAUCGGCCACCACCGCCUCAUUAAACCUCCCGUCCACCGUCUCUUCCAUGGACUCGCCAAAACACACGGCCCAAUAUUCUACCUCCGACUAGGUACCCGCCGUGCGGUUGUCAUCUCUUCCUCCGCACUCGCAAGAGAAUGUUUCACGGGUCAUAACGACGUGGUUGUAUC
rnacentral:lncRNA from 1 species